GACAGGAGGGUGAGACUAUGAAUCAUCCACUGGUCAUCUACUCAGAUUGAAACAAUAAUAGACAGUCUGAGAACUGCAUCCAGCAUCAUUGCUGGAGUUCAGGAAUUGUGCUCCUAUCACAUGCCUCUGUUUUAAGAGGUUUUAAAAAAUGGCAGAUCAGAUCCUUCCCAGUGACCUUGACUUCAGUCAACUAUAGCACUUGUUGCAAAGAAAUUAAGAUUUUCCUGCCACCUUUCAGAUCAGCAGCUUGAUCUAAAGAGAGUCCAGUACUUCCUGCAACAGUUCAUUAUGUGAGAAUAAUGAAGAGAAGGAUCUAAUAGCACACAGAUCAAACUGCCUUUUGAGGUAUCAGGGCCCUGAGGUCAGAGCAUCACAUUGCCACAAUGGAUCCCAGGAGAAAGAAAAAGUGUG